rnacentral:rRNA from 1 species
CGAUGGGAGCUUGCUCCCAGGCGUCGAGCGGCGGACGGGUGAGUAACGCGUAGGAAUCUACCCAGUAGCGGGGGAUAGCCCGAGGAAACUCGGAUUAAUACCGCAUACGCCCUAAGGGGGAAAGGGGGGGAGCUCUUCGGAGACCUCUCACUAUUGGAGGAGCCUGCGUUGGAUUAGCUAGUUGGUAGGGUAAAGGCCUACCAAGGCGACGAUCCAUAGCUGUUCUGAGAGGAAGAUCAGCCACACUGGAACUGAGACACGGCCCAGACUCCUACGGGAGGCAGCAGUUGGGAAUAUUGCACAAUGGGCGCAAGCCUGAUGCAGCCAUGCCGCGUGUGUGAAGAAGGCCUUAGGGUUGUAAAGCACUUUCAGUAGGGAGGAAUCAACCAAAUUAAUACUUUGGUGAAAUGACGUUACCUACAGAAGAAGAUCCGGCUAACUCCGUGCCAGCAGCCGCGGUAAUACGGAGGGAUCAAACGUUAAUCGG